UACGUAGGGUGCAAGCGUUGUCCGGAAUUAUUGGGCGUAAAGAGCUCAUAGGCGGUUUGUCGCGUCGGCUGUGAAAACUCGGGGGCUCAACCCCGAGCCUGCAGUCGAUACGGGCAAACUAGAGUGUGGUAGGGGAGAGUGGAAUUCCUGGUGUAGCGGUGAAAUGCGCAGAUAUCAGGAAGAACACCUAUGGCGAAGGCAGCUCUCUGGGACGGUACUGACGCUGAGACGCGAAAGCGUGGGGAGCGAACAGG
rnacentral:rRNA from 1 species